CCUACGGGAGGCAGCAGUGGGGAAUUUUGGACAAUGGGCGAAAGCCUGAUCCAGCGAUGCCGCGUGAGUGAAGAAGGCCUUCGGGUUGUAAAGCUCUUUUGUCAGGGAAGAAACGGUGAGGGCUAAUAUCCCUUGCUAAUGACGGUACCUGAAGAAUAAGCACCGGCUAACUACGUGCCAGCAGCCGCGGUAAUACGUAGGGUGCAAGCGUUAAUCGGAAUUACUGGGCGUAAAGCGUGCGCAGGCGGUUUUGUAAGUCUGUCGUGAAAUCCCCGGGCUCAACCUGGGAAUUGCGAUGGAGACUGCAAGGCUAGAAUCUGGCAGAGGGGGGUAGAAUUCCACGUGUAGCAGUGAAAUGCGUAGAGAUGUGGAGGAACACCGAUGGCGAAGGCAGCCCCCUGGGUCAAGAUUGACGCUCAUGCACGAAAGCGUGGGGAGCAAACAGGAUUAGAUACCCUGGUAGUCCACGCCCUAAACGAUGUCUACUAGUUGUCGGGUUUUAAUUAACUUGGUAACGCAGCUAACGCGUGAAGUAGACCGCCUGGGGAUACGGUCGCAGNUUAAAACGUCAAAGGAAUUGACGGCNGAGAGNGCGAGAGACGACGAGGAGAGG
rnacentral:rRNA from 1 species